rnacentral:tRNA from 1 species
GGGGGAUUAGCUCAGUUGGGAGAGCGCCUGCAUGGCAUGCAGGAGGUCAUCGGUUCAAGUCCGUUAUCCUCCAUCA